ensembl:lncRNA
AUCUACUUGUACAUAUGUUUAUAUUAUCAUUAGUUAAAUGCAGUUAUGAGCAAUAUUUACAUUAUUUUGUGUAAUGACAUUUCUCUACAUGAUUUCUCUAUAAAAUGUUUCAGAUGCUCAUUAAUUAAAAUCUUAUGAUCUUGUAAGAAUUUCCUGACCAGAUUUUUGAAAUUUCAAAGCUUGAUUUUCACCUCUAUUCAGAAAUUAGUUUUUUACAUUGGAUUAAUAUUGCAAAAUCAAAUUCUUCCCUCUCCUAUUCCUGGUUACUGCAUUAAAAAUUGGUUUAGAAAAUCCGUACAGCCUAGAAACCUUCUGCACUGUUUGUAUAAUUCCAUGUUGACCUCCAGCAUAAGCUGCAGCUUCCAGGAAUGUCUAUGAAUGAAAGACUUCUCCAGUAAUCUGGGGAAAUAAUAGCAUCUUCUUGGACCAGCAGCCUUUAACAGCUUUCUGACAAAUACCUGGCACUCUGUUCUCCUCUGGUGUUUUUCCCUUGCUUCCAUUUUGGAGGCUAAAGAAAUAUGGAUCGGAAAAAUGGAAUUGUAAGAAGAUUAAAAAAUUGCCUGGACUACUAGGCUUAAGGGACAGUCAUCCCUAUAUGGAUAGUGAAUACCUCAUGAGGUACCAGAGCCUAUAUUUCUCAACAGAUAGGGAAGUUACUCAGAAAGGCUCUUCCUGGAGGUUGCUGAUUAGACAAAGAUGCGGCUGACCUGAUUCAGUGCUGAUAAAACCUAUGCUUCUGAUAAUGUCAAGGAGGCUAGCUCAUCAGCACUGUGAGUGACAAAAUGUGCAACUUCUUCAAGGUGGUUAUACAUGUACUGUUGUCCUGCAAUGUGAAAGACUUUACAAAAUCUAAAGACUAUAAAAAUACAAUAUGACUUUGUAUGGGACUAAGGAAAAAAAAAAUCAUUUCAACCACUGUGUGUGUUUUAUGCCUGAUGUCAAGAAACUGGAAAGAAAUACAUAGAAUUGCUCAUCUGUAAAAAGUAAUACCCUGAGGAGGACCAGCAAUAAAAGUUCAAUGAAUUCAUUAUGUGAUGCAAGUUAACCUGUUGAUAAAUACAAUUUAUAAAUAAAC